UGAGGUUUUGGCUCAGUGGUAGAGCACUUGCGAGCAUGUGUAAGGUACUGGGUUCAAUCCUCAGCACCACAU
rnacentral:tRNA from 1 species